rnacentral:rRNA from 1 species
AUUGAACGCUGGCGGAAUGCUUUACACAUGCAAGUCGAGCGGCAGCGCGGGGGCAACCCCGGCGGCGAGCGGCGAACGGGUGAGUAACACAUCGGAACGUACCCUAUCGUGGGGGAUAGCUCGGCGAAAGCCGGAUUAAUACCGCAUAAGACCUGAGGGUGAAAGCGGGGGAUCGCAAGACCUCGCGCGAUUGGAGCGGCCGAUGUCGGAUUAGCUAGUUGGUGAGGUAAAGGCUCACCAAGGCGACGAUCCGUAGCUGGUCUGAGAGGACGACCAGCCACACUGGAACUGAGACACGGUCCAGACUCCUACGGGAGGCAGCAGUGGGGAAUUUUGGACAAUGGGGGAAACCCUGAUCCAGCCAUUCCGCGUGAGUGAAGAAGGCCUUCGGGUUGUAAAGCUCUUUCGGCAGGAACGAAACGGUGGAGGCUAAUACCUUCCAUCAAUGACGGUACCUGAAGAAGAAGCACCGGCUAACUACGUGCCAGCAGCCGCGGUAAUACGUAGGGUGCGAGCGUUAAUCGGAAUUACUGGGCGUAAAGCGUGCGCAGGCGGCUUUGUAAGACAGGUGUGAGAUCCCCGGGCUUAACCUGGGAACUGCGCUUGUGACUGCAAGGCUUGAGUGCGGCAGAGGGGGGUGGAAUUCCACGUGUAGCAGUGAAAUGCGUAGAGAUGUGGAGGAACACCGAUGGCGAAGGCAGCCCCCUGGGUCGACACUGACGCUCAUGCACGAAAGCGUGGGUAGCAAACAGGAUUAGAUACCCUGGUAGUCCACGCCCUAAACGAUGCCAACUAGGUGUUGGGGAAGGAGACUUCCUUAGUACCGUAGCUAACGCGUGAAGUUGGCCGCCUGGGGAGUACGGUCGCAAGAUUA